rnacentral:rRNA from 1 species
GACGAACGCUGGCGGCGUGCUUAACACAUGCAAGUCGAACGAUUUAGUCGUCGGUCAUCAGACGUCAGACGUCAGGGGAACGAAUGGAACUGAAGAAAGAACUCGCUUUAGCGAAAAUCUAUUCCGAAACCCUUACGACCGAUGUCCGAUGACUGACGACCGAAUAGUGGCGGACGGGUGAGUAACGCGUGGGCAACCUACCCAUAAGAGGGGGAUAACAGCUGGAAACGGCUGCUAAUACCGCAUAAGCUUUUUGAGACACAUGUUUUAGAAAGUAAAGGAGGCUUUAGGCUUCCGCUUAUGGAUGGGCCCGCGUCUGAUUAGCUAGUUGGUAGGGUAGCGGCCUACCAAGGCAACGAUCAGUAGCCGGCCUGAGAGGGUGGACGGCCACACUGGGACUGAGAACGGCCCAGACUCCUACGGGAGGCAGCAGUGGGGAAUAUUGCGCAAUGGGGGAAACCCUGACGCAGCGACGCCGCGUGAGCGAAGAAGGCCUUCGGGUUGUAAGCUCUGUUG